AUAACAACACAGGACUCUUUUGAGGCCCUGUAAUUGGAAUGAGUACACUUUAAAUCCUUUAAAGAGGAUUUAUUGAAGGGCAAGUCUGGUGCAGAACGACUGACGGUGCGUGCUGCAGCUGAAA
rnacentral:rRNA from 1 species